CUUCAGUAUAACACUAAGGCCCUAAUUUGUAUUAAAAUGUCUUAAAUCAGUCAUUCAUAGGUCUUAAAUUUGUUACCACAGUUUAUAGAUUGAGCUAAUAGCAACCAAAAGGAGUUAGCACUGAUUAUGUUGUGGUUUUUAUAACUGAUUUAUUGUUUAUUUUACUAGGGAACAAAACAAAGUUUAUGAAUUCAGUUCAAUGGUUGUU